ACGAACGCUGGCGGCGUGCCUAAUACAUGCAAGUAGAACGCUGAAGGAGGAGCUUGCUUCUCUGGAUGAGUUGCGAACGGGUGAGUAACGCGUAGGUAACCUGCCUGGUAGCGGGGGAUAACUAUUGGAAACGAUAGCUAAUACCGCAUAAGAGUAGAUGUUGCAUGACAUUUGCUUAAAAGGUGCAAUUGCAUCACUACCAGAUGGACCUGCGUUGUAUUAGCUAGUUGGUGGGGUAACGGCUCACCAAGGCGACGAUACAUAGCCGACCUGAGAGGGUGAUCGGCCACACUGGGACUGAGACACGGCCCAGACUCCUACGGGAGGCAGCAGUAGGGAAUCUUCGGCAAUGGACGGAAGUCUGACCGAGCAACGCCGCGUGAGUGAAGAAGGGUUUCGGAUCGUAAAGCUCGGUUGUAAGAGAAGAACGAGUGUGAGAGUGGAAAGUUCACACUGUGACGGUAUCUUACCAGAAAGGGACGGCUAACUACGUG
rnacentral:rRNA from 1 species